CCUACGGGGCGCAGCAGUGAGGAAUAUUGGUCAAUGGACGCAAGUCUGAACCAGCCAUGCCGCGUGCAGGAAGACGGCUCUAUGAUUUGUAAACUGCUUUUGUACGAGGGUAAACGCAGAUACGCGUAACUGUCUGAAAGUAUCGUACGAAUAAGGAUCGGCUAACUCCGUGCCAGCAGGCGCGGUAAUCCGGAGGAUUCAAUCGUUAUCCGGAUUUGUUGGGUUUAAAGGGUUCGUAGGCGGUCGGAUAAGUCAGAGGUUAAAGCACUAGGCGCAACUUCGUAAUUGCCUCUGAUUCUGGUCGGCUAGAGAGUAGGUGCGGUAGGCGGAAUGUAUGGUGUAGCGGUGAAAGGCU
rnacentral:rRNA from 1 species